CCGAGUAAGCUUCGAGUCCAUGGCUCUGGGUGCAAAGGAGGCGGCAAUGGCAUCUUCCAUCUUCUCAUCUUUCCCUCCAACUUCACUCCAUCUCCAUUCAUCCAACAAAUCUUUAUCUUCAAUCAAAUUUGCCGUCGCCAAUUCUCCGCCCUCGCUCAAAUUCAAUUAUCGCCACACAUCGAAAAGGUCUUCCUUUCAGCUGCAAUCAGCUCCAGAAAGCCUUACAACUGUAGCAGAUGAAACAACUGUAGAAGAAGAAGGAGAAAAAAUUGAAAAUUCCGGAAAUGCCAACAUCAGAAGAAAGCUGUUUGUGCUGAACCUGCCGUGGUCCUUCUCCGUCGCUGAUAUAAAGACACUGUUUAGUGAAUGUGGCGAUGUUUCGGACGUUGAGAUUAUAAAGCAGAAAGAUGGGAAGAACAGAGGGUUUGCGUUUGUUACGAUGGCUUCUGGCGACGGUGCUCAGGCUGCUAUCGAAAAGUUUGACUCUUAUGAAGUGGUUGGCCGAAUUAUCAGAGUACAAUUUGCUAAGAGAUUCAAGAAACCUGUUCGUCCUGCUCCUGUAAUAGUCCCUCCGCCUGGAGAGACCCGCCACAGGCUUUAUGUAUCCAAUCUUGCGUGGAAAGCGAGAUCAAAUAAUCUCCGAGAGCUAUUCUCAUCCAACUUCAAUCCUGUUUCAGCAAGGGUCAUAUUUGGUAAUCCUUCAGGAAGAUCAGCUGGAUAUGGAUUUGUAUCUUUUGCCACCAAAGAGGAAGCAGAAUCUGCAAUUAAUGAAUUAGAUGGGAAGGAAUUAUUGGGGAGACCGAUUCGUUUAAAAUUUAGUGAAAGAGGCUCUACUGCUUCUGAAAGUAACGUAGAAUCAAACUCCAAUGCUGCUGAGAGUGAGGCGGAAUCAAGCCCAGAACAGCCCGAAGAGUCUUGAGAUAGGUUUAGCUCGUCCUGCUUCUUGAAACACUGCUCAUUUUCAGCCCUGCACAUGUACUCUUGAUGAUAAUGAUGUUGCAGCUCAACAGGGAUUGAGAUAGAAGAGUCAUCUGCAGAAAGAGCAAAGAGAUGUGUUACAGAUUCAUUCUGAUAUUGCUGAUUAAUUAAUUAACAUGACAUAUCAUCAUAAUUAUAUAAUCGAUUCUUAUAUAGUACUAGCAUGUUUUAGAAGUUCACCACUUAUAUAGACUUCGACAAUACAGUGUAUUGGCCAAAGGCUCAAAGCUAUAGGAUUGGUAUACAUUUAGUUAAAGUUAUAGGAUUGGCUUGUUAAUUAUCUUAUCCUGGUAGUAUAUUAUUAAUGCAUUUGUUGAACAAAACUGAAUAAUUCUUUAACUGCCUUUACGGCGAAUUAAUGUUAGGGAUGAUUUAUUAUUUCUUAA